rnacentral:tRNA from 1 species
AAGGAAGUCAUAGAGGAUAUGGAGUUGACUUGAAAUCAAUUUGAGGGGGUUCGAUUCCUCCCUUUCUUG